ACAAUGGCUCUUUUCAGAGCCACCCAAAAACCUUGCAGAGCUUGAU
rfam:Oryzias latipes DNA, chromosome13, strain: Hd-rR.